GCUCUGAUAAUUGUUGUUGUUGGAUCAAUUUCUAUAUUUUGAAAUAUGAACUGGUUUCUAUUGUUUAUCAUAAUAAUGUAGGUUAAAAAUUCUGACUUGGAAGAGAAACUUAAGGGUCUCUAACAUGAGGUUCAUGCUGCUGAGCUAGACUGGGGAAGGUUUUUUAAGAGUUUCUGAAACAAACCAAAGGUUCUGAUGCUCCGAGAUGUAAGGUUUCAGAUCUAUAGCUUGUAGAUCUAGGAGAAUGGUUGGAAGCUAAGAUUUGAAAAGUAACAGCGAGAGAAUUCAACCAUGUUGGAGGAAAUUUAAAUCUAUUCAAAACAUAGUUCUAUGAAGAUUCUGUUAAAAAAUCAUGUUAUGACAUUUAUAGUUAAAAAAAUAUGUUAUGUUUGAUAUUUUGUAUACACUACUAGAAAACUAGUUAUUACA